CCUACGGGUGGCUGCAGUGGGGAAUAUUGCACAAUGGGCGCAAGCCUGAUGCAGCCAUGCCGCGUGUGUGAAGAAGGCCUUCGGGUUGUAAAGCACUUUCAGCGGGGAGGAAGGCGGUGAGGUUAAUAACCUCAUCGAUUGACGUUACCCGCAGAAGAAGCACCGGCUAACUCCGUGCCAGCAGCCGCGGUAAUACGGAGGGUGCAAGCGUUAAUCGGAAUUACUGGGCGUAAAGCGCACGCAGGCGGUCUGUCAAGUCGGAUGUGAAAUCCCCGGGCUCAACCUGGGAACUGCAUUCGAAACUGGCAGGCUAGAGUCUUGUAGAGGGGGGUAGAAUUCCAGGUGUAGCGGUGAAAUGCGUAGAGAUCUGGAGGGAUACCGGUGGCGAAGGCGGCCCCCUGGACAAAGACUGACGCUCAGGUGCGAAAGCGUGGGGAGCAAACAGGAUUAGAUACGCGGGUAGUC
rnacentral:rRNA from 1 species